rnacentral:rRNA from 1 species
AGAUAUUAGUCAAUGGCCUAACGGCUGAACUGGCAACUUGGAGAAGUGGCAAGUCUUCCAGUAUGGGGAGCAAAACAGCUAUGGGUCAAGUCCGAUAUCUUUAGGAGAAGUCUUAUUGUGAGGGCGAGUUAUAUAACACCAUAGGACUGGCCGUCCCAUAUGAAAAGAUUAUAUUAGAAUUGAAUGAAGCUUUGUUUAUAUAUUGAUAAUGACAGUAUAUAUAUCGUGUCUUGACUAAUUGCGUGCCAGCAGUCGCGGUAAUACGUAAGAGACUAGUGUUAUUCAUCUUAAUUAGGUUUAAAGGGUACCCAGACGGUCAAUAUAGCUUAUAAAAUGUUAGUACUUGACUAGAGUUUUAUGUAAGAGGGCAGUACUUGAGGAGGAGAGAUGAAAUUUCGUGAUACCAAAGGGACUCUGUAAAGGCGAAGGCAGCCCUCUAUGUAAAAACUGACGUUGAAGGACGAAGGCACAGAGAACAAACAGGAUUAGAUACCCAAGUAGUCUUUGCAGUAAAUGAUGAAUGCCAUAGGUUAGAUUGAUCAAUUAUAGUCUAGGGUUAGUCUAGCAAACUAAUGCCCUAUGAUAUAAUUCAAAAUAUCUGGUCUAUAAAUGAAAGUGUAAGCAUUUCACCUCAAGAGUAAUGUGGCAACGCAGGAACUGAAAUCACU